rnacentral:rRNA from 1 species
UUUCUAGUGAAAAAAUACUAGAUUAGCCCUGCCCAACGUAAUUAAGUGGCCGCGGUACAAUAACCGUGCUAAGGUAGCAUAAUCAAUUGUUUAUUAAUUGUAAAAUUGAAUGAAUGGGUAAACAAAAUAAAGACUGUCUCUUAUAGACUAAUAUAAAUUAUCCUCUUUAUGAAGAGAUAAGGAUACAAUUAAAGGACAAGAAGACCCUAUAGAGCUUUCACAUAAACUUAAUAAAUAAAAUAAAGUUUGGUUGGGGCGACCUAAGAUAAAUAAUAACAUCUUUAAAUUAUAAAGAACACCUAUUCUAUAUAAUGAUCCAAAAUUGAUCAAUGAUCAAAGUUACCUUAGGGAUAACAGGCUAAUAAUUUUUAAGAGUUCUUAUCUAAAAAAUAGAUUGGCACCUCGAUGUUGGCUUAGGAAUACCACUGCUCGCAAAAGAGUAUGUGGUUGGUUUGUUCAACCAUUAAUAUCCU